rnacentral:rRNA from 1 species
UACAGAGGGGGCAAGCGUUGUUCGGAAUCACUGGGCGUAAAGCGCGCGUAGGCGGACCUGCAAGUCGGGGGUGAAAGCCCGAGGCUCAACCUCGGAACUGCCUUCGAUACUGCGGGUCUCGAGUCCGGGAGAGGUGAGUGGAAUUCCUAGUGUAGAGGUGAAAUUCGUAGAUAUUAGGAAGAACACCAGUGGCGAAGGCGGCUCACUGGCCCGGUACUGACGCUGAGGCGCGAAAGCGUGGGGAGCAAACAGG